CUUUCUAUUGUCAGACAUCUACCCAAAAAGAUGUUGUUGCGUGCUGCUUCAAUUCUUUCAUUUCAAACACAUCAAUAAGUUCAUAGUUGUGAUCUAUUUCUUCGUGUCGUGGUGCGAUCCUUGCAAAUUCCUAGAAGAAGAGAUUCACGCCUAGCCUGUAAAGGAUGCAGCAUAGGAGUUUCAGGUAGCAUCUGGAUUUUAAGGUUGUCGUAUUAGCAGGGUCACUAUCUUCGUUCUUCCACUAAAGUCUUUUCAUCUUCAGAUGAGUCUUUUCUUUCUUUCAUCACAAAUGCUGUUGUUGUUUGGGGGAUUCUUGAGCACCGCAGUCUGAUCAACAUUGUGGAUGAAGAUUUUAACCUGUUCCCCUUUGGAUGUCUAUAUUUUCAAUAGUAUCAAUUUGUUAAUUAAUAUUGUCAAGUGAAAUUAACAUGAAUCUAGUUGAAAAAAAUGGAAAGAAAGCUUAUAUUAAGUACUGUAAUAUAAUCAAUUAAUUAACAAUUUAAUUAAAUAUAUUAUAAUGUGUCUUCUGUUUGACCAAUUCUUUUUGUAUAAAUGUAUGUUAAAUUGGAUUGGA